AAUCAACGCUGGCGGCGUGCCUCAGACACGCAAGUCGAACGGUUAAAGCCCUCUUCGGAGGGUGCAUAAAGUGGCGCACGGGUGAGUAACACGUAAGUAAUCUACCUUCGAGUGGGGAAUAACGUUCGGAAACGAACGCUAAUACCGCAUAAUGCAGCGGCAUCUAUGAUGACAGUUGUUAAAGAUUUAUCGCUUGAAGAGGAGCUUGCGGCAGAUCAGCUAGUUGGUAAGGUAACGGCUUACCAAGGCGACGAUCUGUAUCCGGUCUAAAAGGACGGUCGGACACACUGGCACUGAAUAACGGGUCAGACUCCUACGGGAGGCAGCAGUCGGGAAUUUUGGGCAAUGGGCGAAAGCCUGACCCAGCAACGCCGCGUGAAGGAUGAAGUUUUUCGGAAUGUAAACUUCGUAAGAAUAGGAAGAGUAAAUGACGGUACUAUUUGUAAGGUCCGGCUAACUACGUGCCAGCAGCCGCCGUAA
rnacentral:rRNA from 1 species